rnacentral:tmRNA from 1 species
GGGGCUGAUUGGUUUUGACAGCAAGGAAGUGGUACAGUAAGCAUGCCGGGCAUUUGGAAUGUGGCUCGUUAUCAACUAUUCCUAAAGCCAUAACUGGCAAUAAUAACUACGCUCUCGCAGCCUAGUCGAAGUUUAGUAGACUAGCGCCCAAUCCCGACACAAGGUGUCGAGGACGAGACAUCCCGCAGGCGGACACGUCUUUUUCCUGUCUGAGUUCGGGGUGAAGCAAUUAAAGACUAGCCGCAGGCAAGCUUCGGGCUUGUGGCGAAAACAAAGAAGAUAAGCCUCAGGUUGGCUGUUUGUUGCCUGCCUGUUGCCGACAAUUAAGAAUGAACUAAGCAUGUAGAAAGCUCUAUUGCUGCUUGUUUGGACCAGGGUUCGACUCCCUGCAGCUCCACAA